UACGUAGGGUGCGAGCGUUGUCCGGAAUUAUUGGGCGUAAAGGGCUCGUAGGCGGUUUGUCGCGUCGGGAGUGAAAACCUCGGGCUUAACUCGGGGCUUGCUUUCGAUACGGGCAGACUAGAGGUAUGCAGGGGAGAACGGAAUUCCUGGUGUAGCGGUGAAAUGCGCAGAUAUCAGGAGGAACACCGAUGGCGAAGGCAGCUCGCUGGGACGGUACUGACGCUGAGGCGCGAAAGUGUGGGGAGCGAACAGG
rnacentral:rRNA from 1 species